ensembl:lncRNA
GAGACAUAGCUGUAAAAGGGCUAAAAGUUUUUCAGAGUUGUGGAAAUGUAACAGAUAAGUAAGAACAAAGAAUAAAUUGAUGGCAAUUUAGGGAGAGGAGCUUUUCUGGCUGCCUGUCGCUGGUCUGGCUCUUUGUUGAAAAAGAAGUUGUGGGAGGAUGAGGGGCUUUACUCGGAUGAAAAGAAGAGCUCGAGUGAAUCUCAGCUGUGGAGACAAGCAGGAAGAAGUCUCGCUCUCUGAGAUUUGGAGAGCUAAGAAAUUGGAAGUGAGUCAUGAAAUUACCGUGGCAGUAAGUGCCAUCACAGGCUGAGAUCAUCACCAUCCAUUGCUGAGCUCUGUUGGCUGAAUGCUCCUGGCGCCCCCCGUUUGAGAACCAGUGAGAAGAAAAAUCAUCAAAGAGAGACUGAGCUGGAAUAUCAGAGGGACGAGUUCUCACACCAAGUACAGAGCGGCAAGCAAUGAGGAAGAAAGAAAAGAGGUGCUUGUCCAAUCAGAGAUGCAGAUGGCCACAGAAGACAUGAGCACCAGCCAACCUGGCACCGGGACGACUUCCACUUGCCAAUUUAUACAUAACAAAUCAAAUGUGACCCCCUAAUUAAACACUUGAUACAGUUUACCUAGAC